AUUCAGAUAGUUUAAUUAGAAUAGAAAUUUGUGGUAUUUCAGGUAUAAGUUGUUAUUUUGAAUU
rnacentral:tRNA from 1 species